UCCCAUGGCAAUGGACAAAGAGACACUUGUUGGUGGUGGUGGUCUUAUAUCAGUCUAGGGCAGAGCAGACGGCAGUCCUAUGUUCAUCCUAGCCUGAUGCCUAACUUGGUGGCCAAAGCUAGUUUUAUGACCAGGACACAUAA